UUCUGAGGGUUUAUAUUAAAAAUGGUAGGGCUGGGCGUCCCUGAUGGCACAGUGGUUGAGAGUCCGCCUGCCGAUGCAGGGGACACGGGUUCGUGCCCCGAUCCGGGAAGAACCCACAUGCUGCAGAGC